rnacentral:rRNA from 1 species
UACGUAGGGGGCAAGCGUUGUCCGGAAUCAUUGGGCGUAAAGCGCGUGUAGGCGGCCCGAUAAGUCCGCUGUGAAAGUCCAGGGCUCAACCCUGGGAUGCCGGUGGAUACUGUCGGGCUAGAGUGCGGGAGAGGCGAGUGGAAUUCCUGGUGUAGCGGUGAAAUGCGCAGAUAUCAGGAGGAACACCAAUUGCGAAGGCAGCUCGCUGGAACGUAACUGACGCUGAGACGCGAAAGCGUGGGGAGCAAACAGG